UAGAAAAGCACAUAUAUCAGGCCUGCAUCACCAUGUCCUCCAUCACCACAGAGAUGGAGCAACAGGGCCAGUUGGCCAGGCCAGUACCUCCCCUCCCAGGCCUGGUCCAGGGCAAAUGAAACUCCUCUCUGAUACAACUCAGCCACGGGCCAUACUGGAAUCCACUUGCCAAGAUCUGAGCAUCCGAUAUCGGGAGUGCACUCAGGGUAUCUGAGGCCUUCCCGUUAAAAUCAGAGAGAAGUGUUCCAGGCAGUCAAGGACUGGGCUUCUGCUCACAAGGACCGCCCACCCCAGCAAGGAGACAAGAAAGACUCCCCAACACUGGACCAUCAGGAGGCAUGAAGGAUGAAAAGAAGGACAGAGAUGAACAGAGAGAGACUGGCUCUUGGAGGUCAGAGAGGCAAAGACUGCCACCUCGGAUAAAGAUGUUCCUCCCUGCGAAUGCAUAACACUCUCGAGAGCCUAGAAUACAGUAAGACACGAGGGCUUCCAAUGAGAGUCUCAGGGGCUAAGUAUGGUCCACAUUAACCACACAGUUCUCCUGAGGACUUCAGGGGAGUGAAGGUUAUCUGGUUAGCCCUCCAGGAAGACAUCAUACGACGAAGAUUUCUGAGAAUGAAUCCUAAAGCUUGCUCCAGAAGAAUUCACCUAACAUCCUGAAAGCAUCUUCUCUUCCACAGAACCAGUAGAUCCAAAGCUCAGAGCAACACGCUUGAGGACGAGGACCUGGAGUCAGAGCUGACAGGCGGCCUGACCGCACACUUCCAUCCCUUGAGAACCAUUCAGCUGGUUUCCAGCUUUGUUCGCUAUGCAAAUACCUUGAUUGACACUGAUCAAUGACUAGCACUUGGCCCAUAUCUAAGUGCUUGUAUACAAAUAAAGAUGAUUAAAUUGCUUCGAACAGAUUUUGAAUUACAUCUGAGCAGCUAUAUUUUAAAAUAGCGAGCACACUCUAUUUCACCACUGUUAUCAAUAAAAUAUUCA
rnacentral:lncRNA from 1 species